UACGAAGGGUGCAAGCGUUUACUCGGAAUCACUGGGCGUAAAGCGUGCGUAGGCGGUUCGUUAAGUCUGCUGUGAAAGCCCUGGGCUCAACCUGGGGAACUGCAGUGGGAUACUGGCGGACUAGAGUGUGAUAGAGGAUGGUGGAAUUUCCCGGUGUAGCGGUGAAAUGCGUAGAGAUCGGGAGGAACACCAGUGGCGAAGGCGGCCAU
rnacentral:rRNA from 1 species